rnacentral:tRNA from 1 species
GCCCCGGAAUGUGACGGACGUUUGAGGUCAGACUGACGGACUUGUAAUCCGCAGGUCCCAGGUUCGAGCCCUGGUGGGGGCACCA